CCCACAACCAAUAUCCUCAACCUAAUCCCCCUCAACUCAGGACAAAUUUGAAUUCUCUUGAUCUCCAGCAGCUAUCAACUGUAAUCCAUUCUGAACACUCAUCCAUCCCUACCCUCUCCUGUACCUCUCUGGCUAUCUCCUCAUAUAACGCUACCCUGACCUCUGCCGUAGAUUCUGCAGCCCCACCCCAAACCUCAAGCAAGGUGCGCCUCCAAGCGUGGCACACUAAGUCAAC